rnacentral:lncRNA from 1 species
GUAAAGGAGGUGCAGCGGUUCUUAGGGUUUGCCAACUACUACCGGAGGUUUAUCUGAGGCUUUGGUCAGGUAGCGGCUCCCAUUACCUCCUUGUUGAAGGGGGGACUGGUGCGACUGCAGUGGUCAGCUGGGGCGGACAGGGCUUUUGGUCACCUGAAGGCUCUGUUUACCUCGGCUCCCGUGCUGGCUCAUCCUGAUCCCUCCUUGGCAUUUAUAGUAGAGGUGGACGCGUCUGAGGCUGGGAUAGGAGCUGUGCUGUCUCGGUGCUCAGGUACGCCACCAAAGCUCCGCCCCUGUGCUUUCUUUUCGAAGAAACUCAGCCCGGCGGAGCGAAACUAUGAUGUGGGGCUCUGAAGGCUCUGAAGGCGUGGAGACAUUGGCUUGAGGGGGCUAAACACCCUUUCCUCAUCUGGACUGACCACUGCAAUCUGGAGUACAUCCGGGUGACGAGGAGACUGAACCCUCGCCAGGCAAGAAUCUGGUGUUGAGGUGAAUGCUGUGAGGAAGAGCCGUCGGUAUGAGGUAGAGCUUCCUGGACACAGUCUGGAGAUGAUCCUAUUGAGAUGGAGCCUAGAUGAGGUAUAUUCACAGCUGCCACCCCAGCCUGAAAUGGGACCACCGCUGUUGUGAGGAGAUUUGAAGAUAUUAAAGUGAAAGCAAUAAAUGACAUGAUAUCAUACAAUGUUCACAGGUGUCAAUUAGUACAAUUUUGAAAUCUCAAAACUUUAAGACAAACCAGUAGACUGAAUACUUUCUAGUAGGCCAUUUUAAUUCCACUAGCUUUACUUACUGCUAUUUACAGGCACAGUUGAUUCCACGUGGUUGUUCUGAAUUCUAAAAAGAAAAAAAAGUAGACCUAGGUAUAAAAGAUUGGUUCAUUUUUCAAGACACCUUAAGGUUCCUUACCAUCACCAAAUUCCAAUCACUAAAACAAAUACACAGACAACUCACAAGGCUGUGAUGUUCCAUUCCCAAGGAAGAAAAUGGUUUUCAUAAUACACCUCUGUCUUGGUGCCAGAUUGGUCUUCUUUACAUUGUUGUGGGAUCUAGAAAAAUAGUCAUAGCCACCUAUUUGAUGUUACAGCAAAUAUAAGCUAAUUGAGUUACACAUUAAUUUAAUCUGUUAUUGUAACAUUUGAAAUUCAGUGAUGAGUAGUUGGACAGUUCAGUAGCUGAAAUCAAUAACGUUAGAGGUUGGUGAGGAUGGCAAUUGUUAUGAUUCUGACACUCAGAGGGGCCAGCAUCUUUAUUUUUCUCAUGCUGUUCCUCACUCUGGGUCUGCAACAUUACAAAAUGCAUUCCUAGCUUUAAUAUCCUCUGUACUGAAUAAAACAUAAUGGAAGUGAAAACUAAGUCUCAAACAAGCUUGAGGGUCAAUUUCCUCGAUCAUAUAGUUAAAUUGUUGUAGUUUACUCAUUUGAAACUCAAUGGCCUUUAGCAGUUCUGCGUGUGUUGGUUACCUGGCCAAAACUGACUUAAACUGUGGUCUGCUCUGAGGGAUGAAUGGUCCCUAUAGUCUACAGUUUUGUCAAACCUCCCGUCUACACUAUUGGGCAAAAUUACAAAAUGUUGUAAAAUGAUAGCAAAAAUGCUAUAUAGUUUUGUUAUUAGCUUCCACUUGUUGAGUAGCAUAGCACAAACAACAUGCUGUUGACAUUCUCUUAGACAAAAAUCUACAUGCAUGCAUGCACAUAGCCUAUGUUGAAUGAAUGUCAAUGUUCUUAAUUUCUAUAUGUACAAAAAAAUACAUAAAAAUAGUAUUUCGAAAGACAAAACAUUACCUUUUUGGAAUUGAAGCAUGUAUUCCCCAUGUUUUGUAUUCGGUGUGGAAACGGAAAGGGAUUUCCCACAAACCUACGUCAGUACGUUGCCUGUACGUUUGGCGUCACUGUGCGUCAUUUCAUCUUAACUCGUAGUAUUUAGUAACUAUGUAACAAACCGUAUAUAUUUUUAAGACAUUUAUGUAUUUUGAGUGUUUAACAUAUCAAUAAUUUAAGAUAUUUAACUGAUUGAAACCAUACAGUUCAUCAGCUUCCUUACCUUGGGGUGGUUCUCUUCUCCAAACUUAGUCUUGUUGACAUGAAUCCUUGAGUAAGUUACUUACUGUGCCAAAUGUUGUUCAUUGUCCUAUUCCCGAGUCAAAUAAGGCUGUAUAUGGUAUGUCUGGGAGCUUUUGAAAAAGUAUUCUUCCAACUAAAAUCCGGUUUCGCUUGAAGGAGUGUCCUCCUUCAAUGAUAGAUAAGAGGAAGACACUUAUGGGAUAUGAAGAUGACG